rnacentral:rRNA from 1 species
GACGAACGCUGGCGGCGUGCUUAACACAUGCAAGUCGAACGGAAAGGCCCUGCUUUUGUGGGGUGCUCGAGUGGCGAACGGGUGAGUAACACGUGAGUAACCUGCCCUUGACUUUGGGAUAACUUCAGGAAACUGGGGCUAAUACCGGAUAGGAGCUCCUGCUGCAUGGUGGGGGUUGGAAAGUUUCGGCGGUUGGGGAUGGACUCGCGGCUUAUCAGCUUGUUGGUGGGGUAGUGGCUUACCAAGGCUUUGGCGGGUAGCCGGCCUGAGAGGGUGACCGGCAACAUUGGGACUGAGAUACGGCCCAGACUCCUACGGGAGGCAGCAGUGGGGAAUAUUGCACAAUGGGCGGAAGCCUGAUGCAGCAACGCCGCGUGCGGGAUGACGGCCUUCGGGUUGUAAACCGCUUUCGCCUGUGACGAAGCGUGAGUGACGGUAAUGGGCAAAGAAGCACCGGCUAACUACGUG